AGUGAACGCUGGCGGUAGGCCUAACACAUGCAAGUCGAACGGCAGCACAGUAAGAGCUUGCUCUUACGGGUGGCGAGUGGCGGACGGGUGAGGAAUACAUCGGAAUCUACUUUUUCGUGGGGGAUAACGUAGGGAAACUUACGCUAAUACCGCAUACGACCUACGGGUGAAAGCAGGGGAUCUUCGGACCUUGCGCGAUUGAAUGAGCCGAUGUCGGAUUAGCUAGUUGGCGGGGUAAAGGCCCACCAAGGCGACGAUCCGUAGCUGGUCUGAGAGGAUGAUCAGCCACACUGGAACUGAGACACGGUCCAGACUCCUACGGGAGGCAGCAGUGGGGAAUAUUGGACAAUGGGCGCAAGCCUGAUCCAGCCAUACCGCGUGAGUGAAGAAGGCCUUCGGGUUGUAAAGCCCUUUUGUUGGGAAAGAAAAGCAGCAGGUUAAUACCCCGAUGUUCUGACGGUACCCAAAGAAUAAGCACCGGCUAACUUCGUG
rnacentral:rRNA from 1 species